UACGGAGGGUGCGAGCGUUGUCCGGAAUCAUUGGGCGUAAAGGGCGCGUAGGUGGCCCGGUCAGUCAGUGGUGAAAGCGCGGGGCUCAACUCCGCGUCGGCCAUUGAUACUGCUGGGCUGGAGCACUGUAGAGGCAGGCGGAAUUCCGGGUGUAGCGGUGGAAUGCGUAGAGAUCCGGAAGAACACCGGUGGCGAAGGCGACUACCUGGCCUGUUCUUGACGCUGAGGCGCGAAAGCUAGGGGAGCAAACGGG
rnacentral:rRNA from 1 species